UAAUGUGAUAAAAAUUGAUAAUUUUUAUGGUAAAUGGAAUGAUUUUAGCCAAUCAUUCGAUUUUUAUUCGAGAAAAGAUAAUUUUUGAAAUUAAUUGAAUAAGAUACUGCAUGCUGAUUUGGAUUAGUAAAAAUAUGAUCAUUUUACUAUAAUCAUACUUUAUAAACGAUUUCUGUUAAUUUAUUUAAAUAUCUGUCUGGGCAUACAAGAUAAUAUAUCACAAAUUCAUUUAUUACUAGAGGUGGCAUUUUUUCCCUCUACUGCCGAAAUCCUAGCUUUUCUAUACAGGAUAAUCCUAUAAACACAACAGGAAUUAAGCGCAUUUCCUUAAAUUAAACUCUGUCGUGUUCACUUAACACCAAAAAUAGUUUGUUGCUGCGACUGCUCUUAGAGAAGGUCGCUCUAAAGGAUGUUAAUACGUGGUGUAGGCCUACGCUAGUGAAUUGCAUCAAUUACAACCUCAAUAUUGGUUAACUAACCUUGUAUUAGUAAAUUUGAAUGCUGAAAAAUUCGGAUAUCCUUGUUAAGAUAGUAAAUUAACAAUAGACAAUGGCGAAAUUAAGCUUUUUGGACGUUUUUGGUAAUCGAUACCAUGUUUUUUUGCAUAUUCUAUGCCCUUUCCCAUCAGGAGGAUUACUAACGGAUGGGACCAGUUCCAACCACGGCUGCACCCACACUCGUGGAGGAGAUCCGGAUGGCGAAGGACGGGGAUGGCCAGGCUGGGCCCAGCACCCCGAAAAAACUUUUCACAAAACCCGGGUGUUUCUGCGUUACCAUUCGG
rnacentral:lncRNA from 1 species